UAGGGAAUCUUCCACAAUGGACGCAAGUCUGAUGGAGCAACGCCGCGUGAGUGAAGAAGGUUUUCGGACCGUAAAGCUCUGUUGUUGGUGAAGAAGGAUAGAGGUAGUAACUGGCCUUUAUUUGACGGUAAUCAACCAGAAAGUCACGGCUAACUACGUGCCAGCAGCCGCGGUAAUACGUAGGUGGCAAGCGUUGUCCGGAUUUAUUGGGCGUAAAGCGAGCGCAGGCGGAAGAAUAAGUCUGAUGUGAAAGCCCUCGGCUUAACCGAGGAAUUGCAUCGGAAACUGUUUUCUUGAGUGCAGAAGAGGAGAGUAGAACUCCAUGUGUAGCGGUGGAAUGCGUAGAUAUAUGGAAGAAUACCAGUGGCGAAGGCGGCUCUCUGGUCUGCAACUGACGCUGAGGCUCGAAAGCAUGGGUAGCGAACAGGAUUAGAUACCCCGGUAGUCCAUGCCGUAAACGAUGAGUGCUAAGUGUUGGGAGGCUUCCGCCUCUCAGUGCUGCAGCUAACGCAUUAAGCACUCCGCCUGGGGGAGUACGACCGC
rnacentral:rRNA from 1 species